UAUAAAUGAAAACGUGCUUUUAUAUCAGUGUUACAGAUUCACAUUACUGAACGUGUCUCAACCCGUACCGCGCUUUUAUCUGCCUAAAGGUAUCUUCACGCACGACUGGAUAGGCCUUUUGGAUACGCUUGUCCAAGGCCCAAGACAUAAAGUCUCCUGAAAGCUGUGUAGCAAUCAUUCCAUUGCUGACCCAUAGGAUGGUAAUCACAUACAUGAUUGGCUUCAUCUAGAAUCAUGGAUACCUUUCAUACCUUCUCAUCACAAGUUGGAACUAGUGGUCAACAUUGGGACAAUGCAGCCAUAAAUAACAUGGACCAAUAUUUUCAUGGAGGUAAGCACUAUAUUUCUGAUGGGUUUAAAGAUUGUAUUACAUUAUCUUACCAUAGAUAUUUUUCCUCUAAUUUGGCUCCUGUUCCUCCAACAGUGAGCAAGACCUGCCAGCAGAGCUCACUGGAGCAGGGAGACAUGCCGUCAUCCUUUUGGCGCCUGACAAAGUACACUUUUUUUCUUCUAAAUAACACUAUAGUAACAUCUUCUGCACAAAGUUACAUUCCUAAUUAGAUUGGUGUUAAGUGAGAAAGAAUCCUAAAGAUGGUCCAAUGGGCAUGGUCUGAAGCCUCUCGCCAUCUCAGUGUGUUGAACCACCUGAUUUCUUGCAGGCUUGAGAUUCAGAUCCUGCUGAACGAUGUUAAGCAUUCGAUUAACCACAUGCAUGGGACGCUGAACACCAUGCAGGGGCAGUGUAUUGAGUUGCAGACUGCCAUGUCUAAGGUAGUGUCAGAUGAUUGAGAUGGUGAUUAUAAUAAUGAUGACUAGCGGUACCCCACCCUAAGUGCAGUAAAUCAUUGGAUCUGAUUAAUUAAAUUCAAUGCAAUUCAAUCUUUGAGGACUGCAACCAUAGAAAUACAAUUACUUUACACUAAUAAUAAGCUAUUGUCAACUUGCCGUCAAUGCUUAUCUUGCUCAUUGCUCACUGUCAAUUGCUGACUGUUACCCUAUGAGUGCAACUAUUAUUGAUUUCUCACAGAAAAAUUAUUUGGUUGCAAAUGUACCUGGGGCCAUGUAAAUAAUUGUUAGGCUACUCAUUUUGAAUCCACCGGUGGCAACUUGUGUGA
rnacentral:lncRNA from 1 species